GCCCCUACGGGGCGCAGCAGUAGGGAAUAUUGCUCAAUGGGGGAAACCCUGAAGCAGCAACGCCGCGUGGAGGAUGAAGGUUUUUGGAUUGUAAACUCCUUUUGUUAGAGGAGAUAAUGACGGUAUCUAACGAAUAAGCACCGGCUAACUCCGUGCCAGCAGCCGCGGUAAUACGGAGGGUGCAAGCGUUACUCGGAAUCACUGGGCGUAAAGAGCGCGUAGGCGGGAUAGCAAUUCAGAUGUGAAAUCCUAUGGCUUGACCAUAGAACUGCAUUUGACACUGUUAUUCU
rnacentral:rRNA from 1 species